ACCUCUGCCACCCAGGACUCAGGGACCACUGUGGAAGAUGGGCCAGAAAGAUGUCCAGGAAUGGCUCCAGGAACUUGACUGUUCAGAAAUGGAUCUGUGUUCCAUAAGAAGAGGAAGAGAUCACAAGGACAUGAUGCUCUCAACCUGUCACAGAAUCUCAUGCUCCCAGCUUGCUUUCUGUUGAAGUUCUACUAUUUUUCAAAUUGCCAUUCAAUCCAUGCAAUGAUAUAAAUUGUAUCCUUACAAUGAAUCCACAGGACAAAGAAUCCAUGGUCACAGGAUUGGUUUGAGUGCACUGUCUUUCCUCAUCUCUGGGAAGCCCACCAGAGAUGCUCUCUUUUGUCUGCCUCUGCCCCUGCACCCAGCGACUAUAAAUCUUGAAAUUAUAAGAAUGAACUGUUGACUAGAGCUUAUGACUUCUAUGCUGGAGGUUGUUUAUUUUGGGACUUACAUGAUUCUGGAUGCCACAGCAUGGAUGGACAACAGAAUGCAUCUUUACAAGGAGAAAGAAUAUGUGAGAUGAAGAAUCAGCGGGGAAGUCUCUUUUGGAGAUUACACAGAUUGAGCUGUAGCUCUUCAAUAACAAUCCAGGUCGUUGGAGUCACAAGCCCUUAACACCUUGCCCUCUUGGAGUGAAAAAUAUAUUGGAAGUCUUCUUUGCCACAUCUCACAUUCCUCUGGAAUUUGUGUCCAGCAAGUUGCAGUCCUGAAGCAUGCUUGGCAUCUACAGACUCUUCCAUCUGUAAUGCUUGAUGCACUGCCACUGAGCAAGGAGCAUGGUCCCAAAUUACACCUGGCUUGAGCACCUGGCUGUCACUCGCUCCUUCCAAGCAAGGCCUCCUGUCUGGAAAGCAAGCUGUCCAACUGGCUUUUCAACUUACAUCAAACAGGGGAAUAAUUUUUCAAGGCAUCCUUGUACUUUUCUAACUGCUUUUAGGAUGCUGUUAUUGAAGUGGUGAUGAUAUAUGUCUUGAAAAGUAUUCUUUGAUUUAAACAUGUAGAGGUGAAAUUAAUGAAGCAAAUCAAUCUUUUAAAGUCAUUGAGUAAUGUAUUGCUGAAAUUAAGUACACGUUGUAAUUUGAAUUGUUGAAGAGUAAAUCAGUAUAGUGCUCAUGAGAGGGAAAUUGUUCUCAGAAAGUCCAUAAACAUAUGUAUAUAGUCGCUUCCAGCUUCUGGGUCUCAUUUUGAUAGAAAUCUAUCCAGUUUUACUUUUUUGUUUGAUUCUUUACAUGUAUAAAUCUUGCCUCUACAUCUAGAUUUUAAGGUGCUUAAGGACAUAUGCACAAUAUAUGUAAAGCCUAAAACUACCCUUGCUAAACUGAAUAAGAAUAUGCAGGUAGUAAAUUUUCAUUAGGUGCUAAAACUCAGAUCUUAAAUGCUGAAUAAAACAUCAGAUUCACUUUGUGGGGGGACAUCUAUUCUCCUUUACUCUC